AUGCUUGUUACUGUUAAUUUCCUUGUCAAAACCCGGUGGGAUUUAAAGCAAAAGGAUUUUAUUAGGGGAAAGGUCCAUGUGAGAAAAAACAGGCAGGAAGCCAUGGAAGUUAGGAGGAUUAUCAGACCCCCAGUGAAGAGGAGAGGAAAGGCAGGUCUUGUGGGAAGCAACCUAGACUGUCACGCAAUCUGAGGAAGAUUCAUUCGGCCAGGCCCAUGGAUCGCAGCUGCUGUGCUCAUUCACUGGCUGGGAGCAGCAGCCCUGGGGAUGUCAGAGCCAGCACUGGGGCCCUCGAUCAACUCCAAGUCCUGUGAUCUGCAUGUGUUAAAACUGCAUAGAAAUGUCCACAUGCAGGACACCGGAAACCAGCAAGAUCUGAAUAAUUGGUCAACUGUAUCAAUGCCAACUCCUGACAAAGGCUUUACUCCCAAGGAGCUCGCAUUGACAUGGAGAAGAAAGACACGGAACCCAGAAACCAGUAGUUAUCCAGGAUGGCGAUAAGUGCUGAGAAGAAAAGAAAACUAGGCAACGGGCUGGAAAGCGACAGAGAGGGAAAGGGAAAUUUAGAGUGGGGGUUGUCAGGGAGGGCUUCCUGGGGAGGCAAUAUUUUCGAUGAGAUCUGAAAAGUGAAAAGGAGUGAGUCAUAUGAAAAUCCAGGAAAGUUAGCUCCAGGCAGAGGGAAAAGUAAGUACAAAGGCCCUGGGGUGGGAAUGAGUUUGAUGUGUUCAGGAAGUAAAAGAAAGCCAAGUGGCUAGAGGUUGGCAGUCCCAGGGAGGGUGACAGGAGAUGAGACAAGGCCAAAGGCCAGAUCAUAAAAGGCCUUAGAGGCUGAGCUAAGGAGUUGGUUCAUUGCUUGGUUAGUCUCCCACCUAGGCUGUGAGCUCUACAAGUGCAGGGCCCUUGCUCACCACUAUAUGCCAAGACUCUAGCCCAGUGCUGGGCACAUGGCAGAUGCUCAGUAAAUACUGUCUGAGUCAAUGAACAAAUGUGUUCACACACUGCCUUCUACACUCAACACCUUCUCUCUGUGUAUUUCACCAUCUCUUUCCCCCAGGCUUCCUGUUUUCUCUUCGCUGUCCCCUUCACCCUAAGCCCCAGCUUUAAGAAUGUACCCUAAUCAUGUGAGAUUAUUUACCCACAAAGGCUCAGGGGUCCCCCUUUCAAGAAGGCGUGUAUUUGCAUAGCGCAUUGCAGAAAGUGAAAGUGUUAGUCACUCAGUCGUGUUCGACUUUUUGCAACCACAUGGACUGUACUUCAAUAGGCUCCUCUGUCCAUGGAAUUCUCCAGGCAAGAAUACUGAAGCCAUUCCCUUCUCCAGGGGAGCUUCCUGACCCAGAGAUUGAAUCCAGGUCUGCAUUGCAGAUGGAUUCUUUACCAUCUGAGCCACCAGGGAAGCCCAUUUCAGAAAGCUCCCUCCAAAUCUGAUGGCAUCAGAUGGUGGAAUUGCAGGCCCAUAUGUGUCUGUGUCUACUUGGAAGUCCUAGUUGCCCCCUCAGAUCAGUGCAAGAAGGCGACCCCAACCACCAGCUGCUAGGAAACCCGGUCACAUCAAUAAUUCCUAUGCCUAGCUCUUACACCAGUGCCCGAGGGAGCGGGAAGUUAAUUAGCUUUGCUAGAAAGGGCCUGUGAAAUGUGUGGGACUCUGCAGACUUGAGAACCCUUCACACUCCAGGCACAGCUCUGCAUUCCAGCCCCAGCCCUGGCUCACUAGGCCAGAUCUUACACCUGUUCAUGGUGUGGGGUGGUAUUUACAGACAGUAGACACUCGUGGGUCAGCGGGAGGACAGGGAUGGGGCCACCCCUGCGCCGCGUUUGAGUUGUCACAGAGUUAACUUAAUGAUGAAACAAUCACCAUUCAUUCUCCCUUCUCCUGGGAGUGCAAAUGGCUUUAUAAACACCAGGCCUAGGGCGAAUGUGGGGAGGCGGGGUAAGCGGUUUACCUUGGGUGGGGAGUGAACCUUCAGUCCAUUAAGGGGAGUCUGAGAGCAGAAGUUAAUGGUCCCUCCAGGCCUGGAAGUUAAUUCGGCCUUGAAAAGAGUUCUCAAAAUCCAUUUGCCUACCACUUUGGCCCACACUGAUCUCCACGCCCUGCCUAUGCCUCCUUGUAACCUCUCCACUCACUGUUCCUUGGUCUGAUUUUCUCCAAGAUGCUGGCCCAGGAAGUCAAUGACCUUAGAUUGGGUUUCUCAAAGUGGGGAGUACCUUCCUUCUGUAUGCAACACAGGUGAUGUAAUGUGAGUGAAACGCUUGCCUCUGGUCCAGAAUUUAAGGUGCUGACAAAAAACUCAGUCAUCAAGAUAAAAUAAGCACAAGCAAUAUUAGAAGAAUUAAGA
ensembl:lncRNA